GAUGAACGCUGGCGGCGUGCCUAAUACAUGCAAGUCGAGCGAACGGACGAGAAGCUUGCUUCUCUGAUGUUAGCGGCGGACGGGUGAGUAACACGUGGAUAACCUACCUCUACGACUGGGAUAACUUCGGGAAACCGGAGCUAAUACCGGAUAAUAUUUUGAACCGCAUGGUUCAAAAGUGAAAGCGGGUCUUGCUGUCACUUAUAGAUGGAUCCGCGCUGCAUUAGCUAGUUGGUAAGGUAACGGCUUACCAAGGCAACGAUGCAUAGCCGACCUGAGAGGGUGAUCGGCCACACUGGAGCGGAGACACGGUCCAGGCUCCUACGGGAGGCAGCAGUAGGGAAUCUUCCGCAAUGGGCGAAAGCCUGACGGAGCAACGCCGCGUGAGUGAUGAAGGUCUUCGGAUCGUAAAACUCUGUUAUUAGGGAAGAACAUAUGUGUAAGUAACUGUGCACAUCUUGACGGUACCUAAUCAGAAAGCCACGGCUAACUACGUG
rnacentral:rRNA from 1 species